rnacentral:rRNA from 1 species
CUACGGGAUGCAGCAGUGGGGAAUAUUGGACAAUGGGGGGAACCCUGAUCCAGCCAUGCCGCGUGUGUGAAGAAGGCCUUUUGGUUGUAAAGCACUUUAAGCAGUGAAGAAGACUCUUCGGUUAAUACCCGGGGACGAUGACAUUAGCUGCAGAAUAAGCACCGGCUAACUCUGUGCCAGCAGCCGCGGUAAUACAGAGGGUGCAAGCGUUAAUCGGAAUUACUGGGCGUAAAGCGAGCGUAGGUGGCUUGAUAAGUCAGAUGUGAAAUCCCCGGGCUUAACCUGGGAACUGCAUCUGAAACGGUUAGGCUAGAGUAGGUGAGAGGGAAGUAGAAUUUCAGGUGUAGCGGUGAAAUGCGUAGAGAUCUGAAGGAAUACCGAUGGCGAAGGCAGCUUCCUGGCAUCAUACUGACACUGAGGCUCGAAAGCGUGGGUAGCAAACAGGAUUAGAUACCCCCGUAGUC